UCAACCCUUCACAGGAAGGCCUGUCAUGAGAUUUGAAUUUGACCAUCUUGUGCAUUUAUGAAGAAGACCAAAAGCUGCAAAGGCAAACACUUCCAAUGACGCUGAAUCUGAUGUGUACAGAUGAACUCAGGAGCCUGCUAGAGUUGCCAGGGAACUUGAGCUUGAACAGAAGACCAGAAACGGAAAGAAAAUCAGUCAAACCAGUCCUAAAGAAAUGAGGAAUGAACAUGGACUUCUUUUGCCCC